rnacentral:lncRNA from 1 species
AAAACGAGAGUGUGAGACUAAGUCCUUUCUUUAAAUAAUUUCUACUGAAGAAUAUUUUAACCAAUAAGAUUUCACCAAUAAGAUUUCACCAACUAUCUAUCGAAUCCCUGAAGUUUGAUGUAUUACAUACCAAUAUCCCCUAUAUCUCAUAUCUUUAUUCUAUUUACAUUAUAGUUAUUUCUCUUCAUCUCUCUAAUCUUAGAACAAUCAUCAGCCUUAGAUUUACAUAACAACAUUAGAUAAUGAUACGUUGUAUUAUUAGUCCUUAUGGAUUCGAUAAUCUUUAAAACUACGCGAUAGGACUGUGCACUUGCAGUCACGAUUCACAUAGACUUACUAAGUCGCGAUCAAAAACCAUAAGAAUGCUCCAUACCUUGGGGUAAUCUAGGAAGGGGCGAUGUAAAUAAUCACCAGAAAGUCUGCCUCAAAAGAGGUAAAAGGGACUAGAGUCUCCAAUUCGUGGAUAAGGAUAACAGGCAAGUAAAAAUAAUAAUAGGGAGUAGACGACUCGCCCGCAAUGAGCAUAUUAGCUCUCUCCAUUUUUGAAUAGGGUUCUAGGGUCACAUCCUUUUCGCAUAAUUUCUUGACUAACAUCUAACCUCUAUUUGAGACUCGUGUAAUGUUUGGAUAAAAAACUUUAUGACACGAAGAAAGAAAAUUAUUUAUAGAAGAACUAACAAGUCUUGAAUGAAUAAAAUACAAAGAUCGUAAGUGAAACAAAAUCUACUCAAGUAUCAAUGUUAUGCUCUUACAAGAUACAAAAGUAAACACUCAAUUAUAAUCUCCAUAAGUUUUUCCAAAGGUUAUUAUAAAAAUAAACAAUUAAUUAUAUCUCCAUAGUUUUUUCAAAGGUUAUUAUAUGUGUAUUGAAAUUUUAUUAGUUCAGAUCUUUUAAAAUUCAACAAGGCCACCGUAACUAUUAAAAAAAUAAGAGAAAUAUAAAUUGAGAAUGAGAAAGAUCACUUGUUUUACAAUAUUAUUAUAUAAAUAUAGAAUUAUAAAAUUAUAAGUAAAUUUUGAAUUAUU